UCCUGCAAACCACAUUUUAUAUUCAAACCAUGUUGCACGAGGAUAAAGCUUGAUCAAUGUUUUAUAAAAUGAAAUAGAUAUCUACUGAAAAUAUUAUUAAAAUGUUACAUCAACUUAUUUGUGAUUAACGAUUAUAAAGAAUGUGAAGAGUCAAAUAGUGCCAUUCUUGGAUAUUAUGAACUAUAUAAUUAUACACAGGCAUGUGGAUUAUGAAACGUUCUUAGUUUCAUUUUUCAAUCAUUUAGAAAAACAAAGUAAAAUAGUACACUAACUUAUGGGAUGAUAUUAUUAAUAUUGAAGAAAACCUUACUGUCGAUACAAACUAUUUAUUUUCUGAAAGGAAAACGUUACUUUGAAUGACUUCUGGGAGUACAGUUUUGCAGGAACUUAUCAAGGCCAUCUACCCUCCAAUUCUUCUCAUAUUUGGACUUCCUGGAAAUUGCAUAUCUAUUCUUGUGCUUUUACAGUCAAACAACCGAAAAACAUCAACAGGUUUUCUUUUGAUUACUCUUGCGGGAACGGAUAGCUUAAUUCUUGUCUGUUCUGUUCUUAUGAAGUGGGUAGGACAUAUAUAUGAUUGACAUGAGUCCCACAAUGCGAGGGAAGCAUCAGCAAUAUAUAUUGGAAAACGACUACCUUUCAAUAUGUUUGAAAAAAGAAGAAUAAAAAAGAGAACAAUAUUCUACUGGUAAUGUGAUAUAAAAAAGAGACUUGCAUUUUCUAAAUUAUAUAUAAUGUACAGUUCUUGGAUUAACGAGAUAUGUUAUGCGAAAUCAGGAAAUAAAAGUGUGAUUUCUCUCUACCAAAUGAAUAGUUAAGUAAGCGAAUAGUUUUGAAAAUAAUCGAUGAAUGGGGAGGGGGAUCCAGCAUCACUUUGUUGACAUAAUGACGUAAUACAUGUCUAUUUUAUGAAUAGAAAAGAUGACAUGUCGAUUUUAUGAAUAGAAAUUAGGACAUGUCUAGUUUAUGAAUAGAAAACAUGACAUGUCCUGUUCAAUAAGGUUGUUACUUCCCUUGCGUGAGUUGUCGUUAUUGAUAAAAACUACUUCCGGUGAGCAAAUAAAAUCAAAAAAUGGCAACGAAAGAAGGAAUUGAUGAAUCGAUUGUCUUUGACAAACAUUCAAAGCACCAAUUGAUGAUUUAUUGAAGAGAUAGCGGUACACAUAUGCCAGGAAAUAGGCCAUAAUUAAUAAAACGUGCUAAAGGACAUGUUAAAUUAGGUACGAGGCCACUUUGUGAAAAGCAUAUCGAUCAACGCUACAAACAACGACAACUAGAACUUUUUUAAUUUGUACUCCUCUUGGAGAGAAAAUACCUGAGCCCAAGACUUCUUUGUAUAGACUUUGAAGGGACAUUCUGCUGAAAGGAUCUAAUUUGCGUUUGGAAUAAAACGCUGCCAAAAUUAAUUUCAUUCUAUAAAGUAGUAUUCAUUCAAGAGUUGUUUUCAGAGCGUGUAUAACGGGGAAAAUCUUUGUAUUAAAGUUGAAAAAGACUGAAUACUUGUCAACAACCACUAACAUGUAAAUGUUAAAUUUCAUUAUGACUUUCUGUAAACAAUGUUUCAGUGGCUUGUUACUAAAUACUUAACUGUCUAACUUUUGAACUAUAGAUUUAUAUGUGAAUAAUUAAAUGUCAUAAAGUA
rnacentral:lncRNA from 1 species